GACGAACGCUGGCGGCGUGCCUAACACAUGCAAGUCGAGCGAGUGAAUCUCCUUCGGGAGUGAAGCUAGCGGCGGACGGGUGAGUAACACGUGGGCAACCUGCCUCAUAGAGGGGAAUAGCCUUCCGAAAGGGAGAUUAAUACCGCAUAAGAUUGUAGCUUCGCAUGAAGUAGCAAUUAAAGGAGCAAUCCGCUAUGAGAUGGGCCCGCGGCGCAUUAGCUAGUUGGUGAGGUAAUGGCUCACCAAGGCGACGAUGCGUAGCCGACCUGAGAGGGUGAUCGGCCACAUUGGGACUGAGACACGGCCCAGACUCCUACGGGAGGCAGCAGUGGGGAAUAUUGCACAAUGGGGGAAACCCUGAUGCAGCAACGCCGCGUGAGUGAUGACGGCCUUCGGGUUGUAAAGCUCUGUCUUCAGGGACGAUAAUGACGGUACCUGAGGAGGAAGCCACGGCUAGCUACGUGCCAGCCGCCGCAGUAAUAC
rnacentral:rRNA from 1 species